AGGGCUCUUGUGAGUGAAGAAGCUUUCUUCCUCCUCUUACAUCUGUAUUCUGGAUGUUUCCUUGAAGCAGAAUCGGUCUAUACUGAGCCACCAGGGAGGCGGCCGGCCAUGGGCGCCUGCUCAGAAGACCCCCACCUGUGCGGGGCCUCCUGGCUCCUGCGAUUCACCAGCCUCCUCCUCAGUGUCUGCAGCGCUGUGACCCGGAGUCCUGGAGCCCCUGAGUCUGCAGUGGAGGAUUCUGGAAUCCUUGUUACUCUGAAGGGGAUUCAAGGAGCUUCUGUGUUGUUUCGCAUGAACAGAAAUCCAGAAAUACCUCCAGGAGCCAAGCUGGAGAGUAUUACUUGGGGCAUUAUAAAUCAAAAAAUGUACACACCCGUACUCCAAGUCAGUCCCGGGUUAGAUGGUCCACGAUGGGUCAACUUCCAGGACAAGUUCAAGAAGAGGGUCCAUGUGGUCAACACAACGACCCUGAGGAUUGACAACCUGACCCUUGAGGACAGUGGGCUGUACCGGGCUCAAGAGUCCUAUAUGAGAGGAAGACAGUAUGACCAGGAUUUCCACCUGACGGUCUACGAAAUCCGAUGCUGUGAGGUCAGCACAAGUGCAGGCAGAGCUGAGACUCACACCAGGGACGAGUCACGUCUGUGCUUCAGGAGGGAACACGGAAUGGGGAGAAAAGGGGAUUUAGCCGGAACACUCGUUGUCCCCGUAGGACUCAGGGUCCUUGAGCCUGUGCCCCGUCCCCAGAUCCAGGCCAUGGAUCUGUCCCUCACACCAGGCUGGUGCAACCUCACCUUGGAGUGUGACCUCCCGAGAACCAGGGAGGACCUGAUGGUGUCCUGGGAGAGCGAGUGUCUCCCCAGGGAGCUGGAGCAGAGACCGGCCCCAGGACCAGCCCCCAACCCCUGGACCCUGGCUGUGACCCUGCCCCUGAGCCGGCCCAGCCCCAGCCUCACCUGUGUGGUCAGCAACCAGGCGGACAAGAAAGCUGCCUCCCAGGACCUUGGGGACGUCUGUGGCCACGAACCACAUGGACAGACCAGUGCUGCCCACUUGCCCGGUAUCCUGGUGUCUGUUGUGGUUCUGCUGCUGAUCCUCGGAGCUGAACUCAACCUUUGGAAGAGACGUGGAAUGAAGAACGUGAAGCCUGGGACAGGGUCAGGAUCGCAGGAAGAGCAUGGGAACAUGAUCGUUGCAUCCACUCUGCAGAGCUGAUCCAGCAGGAGUCUGGAGACCACAGGGACAAGGGUAGGGGAGAACCACAUCUAGAAGAGGAGAACUCUCUCACUACUGUCUACAGUGAGGUCCGCAGGCCAGGCCAGGACAUGACCAUGAUUUAAUGGGAAGAAGCAGGAGAAUCCCACCCUGGGGACCCCUGUCUCUUCUGUCAGCUCCUGCGUCGUGGGUCCAGUGCUCUGCUGUUAGGAGCUCACGCACCUGGGGUUCUCCUCACUUCCUGCGGAGUUGGCCUUCCGUCAUUCUGCACCACUCUUCACCCGGGAAACAAUCCUUGCUCUGACGUCUACUCUCUCUGACGUUUACCUGCCCAUCAAAGUGUCUUUGGAUUCAUGUUCGUGUGUUGUCAUCAUUCAUCUCAUGUGUCAAAGUGGCUGGGCCCCAGUGCCAAGACUUGUGGUCAAGUAUUAUUCCAGAGUUUUCUAGGAGGAGAUUUGGGAUGAGAUACACUUAAAUGGAUGAACUUUGAGUAGAGCAGACUGCCCUCCACAUUGUGAGUGAGCCUCACCCCAUCAGUUGAAACCUGAGUGAGAGCAAAGACUGACCUCCCCUGAGCAAGGGAGAAUUCGACAGCACACGGCCAUCAGACUGGAACUGGGGUGUUGUCUCGUCCUUGUGUCUCCUCCUGACGACCUUGGACUUGAACCCCAGCAGCAGAUCUUCCCUGCAUCUCAGCCUGGCUCACCCUCCCUGCAGACCUGACUCACCAGCCUCUAUAAUAGUGUGAGCCAUUCCUUACAGUGCAUCUCUCUGGAUCUAUAAGCGUCCUAUACUGCUGGUUCCUGCAGAAUCCUGACUACUACCCAUAGCACUUCUCUUCCUAUCCCCUUCCUGCUAACCCAGCUCCAUCAGCACAGACUGGGAUAGAGUUCCAGAGUGACCUGAGCCCUUAGGUCCUGCGUCCAGUCUCCUGUCUGAGCAGCACCCAUCUGAGUGCUCCCUGACCUUCCUCUGCCUGCUCCUGUUCCUACCCCAUCCCAGCACCCACACUGAAUGGCCCCACAGAAACCACAUCACCUACUGUCCACACCGAGCUUUGGUUUCCCCAUUGGCUGAUUUUCCUGAGAUCGUCUCUCUCACCCUCACUUCUUCUUACCCCUUCUCCCACUGUCAGUGACUGGACCGGGGUGUGCCUGCUUCCCAUGUUGUCACAGGGACACAUCCAGCAUGAGGAGACUCAUAGGGAGCCUUCUGUCCCUAGAAGACCUCAGCAGGUGCAUGAACACCACACCCAGACCUGGAUGCAGAGGUGUGAGGGAGGAGCCGAGCAGUGAUGCCUGGACAGGUCUGUCCUUCCAGCUCCUCUGAGCUUCUCGGGACAAGAAGAAGGUCACACAGGAUAUCAGCGCUGCUAAUCAGAACAGAUUUUCCUUGUAGAAGUUUUUUAGUAAAAUGUCGUUUCCAACAGUAAAUUGCCAGUCAGGAAGGAGAGAAAUGUUGACAGACAGUGGUCCAGCUAUGGCAUGACUCUUCAUUUGCUGCACAGUCAGAGGCAGGAGAGGAAGCAUUGAGUACACUGGAGGUGACAAGUCCCAGAGAAGGCACUGGACACAUGGUCUCCGAGUGGUCCAGCCCUGACUGUCCAUGUUAGAGGGUUGCAGGAAGGGAAACUGAAUGGCUCCAUGAUGCAGAAGACAAAAUCCGGUGGAUGGGACCUGAGAUGUCCAUAAAUCUCUCAGUGGAUCUCAUUCCUUCUACUGCCCCAUCCAGGUGGAGUGGAGAGGGACCCAGGUGUCUCUGGCCCCUCUACUCCCUCGGCCAUCUCACCCCUUCCAAACCUCCACAAUCAUGGGUAUUAGUGGGAAAGACCAGACUCUGGGUCCUGGUCAACUCUCCUCCUGGGGCAACUCUCCAACACUGUAGAGUUCCCGCUUUCCUGAUUUGUUUGGCAAAAGGGAGCAGAUGGAGUCUGCGUGAGGAACAGCCUCUCCUCUCCUCUCCCUCUUCCCUUUCUCAACUGCUCCCUGUGCUGCUCACAAAUGCUGCUCGUGCUCAUGGGGGUCCUUCAUUUCCGUGUAAUUUCUCCCUCACGAGCCUGCAGGCAGCCUGAGGGCAUAGCAUCUCCUUGUUCUCUGUCCCAUCACCUGUGACGUGGACAGAGCUGUUUCCUGGUUCCUGUUCAAUACUUGUUGGUGGGUAUAAGGGCAUACUUAAUCAGAGGGAGCCAUUUUGUUGUUUAUGCAGUAAACUUAGAUUGACCCUGCCCCCCCGCAAAGGAACUUACUUGCAAAGCCCAGAUACAAGGGUGGGUCAGGCCAGGUGGAGACAUCCAAUCAGUGGGGCGCCCAUACCAUCUCCCUAGUUACUGGCCCCAGGUAGCAAAGCCCAGAUACAAGGGUGGGUAGAGACAUCCAAUCAGUGGGGCACACAUAUAUCUACUAGGGUGAAUUGUAAUUCAAUUGACCGCCCAUGUGUGACCUAACAUAACUGUGCAGUUUUCUCUGUGUAUUGCAAUCUCAUUGGCCACCGGUGUAUAGCCCGGCUAAACUACCUCUAUAAAAGUUAGUCUGUGAGGCUGGGAGGGGUCACCUCUUUGCAAGAGAUGCCCCUGACUGGUCAGUUUGAUUCUCGAUGUUUGGCGUGAAAUAAAGCUUUGCUUGACCUUU